GGUGGCUGCCCCGCCUCGGUCC
rnacentral:miRNA from 1 species